rnacentral:rRNA from 1 species
GACGAACGCUGGCGGCGUGCUUAACACAUGCAAGUCGAGCGGUAAGGCCCUUCGGGGUACACGAGCGGCGAACGGGUGAGUAACACGUGGGUGAUUUGCCCUGCACUUUGGGAUAAGCCUGGGAAACUGGGUUUAAUACUGGAUAUGACCUGUCCUCGCAUGGGGGUGGGUGGAAAGAUUUAUCGGUGCAGGAUGGGCCCGCGGCCUAUCAGCUUGUUGGUGGGGUAAUGGCCCACCAAGGCGACGACGGGUAGCCGACCUGAGAGGGUGACCGGCCACACUGGGACUGAGACACGGCCCAGACUCCUACGGGAGGCAGCAGUGGGGAAUAUUGCACAAUGGGCGAAAGCCUGAUGCAGCGACGCCGCGUGAGGGAUGAAGGCCUUCGGGUUGUAAACCUCUUUCAGCAGGGACGAAGCGAGAGUGACGGUACCUGCAGAAGAAGCACCGGCUAACUACGUG